rnacentral:lncRNA from 1 species
GGCUUGACUUUGCUAUCAACUUACAUUGUGAGCUUGAGCAAGCGACUCACCCUCUCUGGACCUUUGGAUCAUGAACGAGUAAAUUAGAUGAUUUCCAAAGGCAGUCCAGCUGGAACACAUUGACUCCAAUAGGAACGUACACCAGAAGAACAACUCUGGUUGGGGAUUUGAAAACCUCUCACUUGCUAAUUCCUGGGGCCUAAGGCAACACAAUCCUUGUUUUCAUAACCCAGAGUUAUGUCCAGGGCCAGACCAGAGCAGCAGAUGGACAGACCUGACUCCUAGACGUUUGUAAUUGAUCAGGACACACUGUAAUGAAGUAAUUUUCUUGUCUUCAUUCUCCAUGUCAGCAGGGGCCUGUCUGCCAUGUAGGAAGGGUGACAGAGUAAUCUGAGCCGCCGCUGAAAACCUGCUUUUUCUCCACAGUUAUUUCGCCUGCCACGAGCUGUGGCAGGCAGUGGGAAAGAGUCCAGACAAGCAGGGGAAUUUGGAUGCUCUCAAAAUAUCAUACAGGAACUUUAAAAAUUGAACUGAUUUAUGCUUUGUAAUGCUUUCAAUAAUGUGUAAAUGAAGUUAGAACUUGAAUCUGAAUUUAAGGAAAAAUUUUAUGUUACCAGACAUGAAAGGGCCACAGAAAAAUCUCAUUGUAUGAUAACGCUCUCUCCGCUGUACCAAGAAUUGCACUUUGCAUAAAUAAUGGAUCCUGGGGUAGAAUGUGUAACAUGCAUUACUUUUCAGCAUCAAAGAAUGCUCAAAAUUACCUGGAGGUCUGAAAACUCCUCUGGGGCUUAUGAAUUCCUGGGUUCAGGCAAAGGCCUUGCCACUAUAAAUCUGGCUUACAAGCUCUCCAAGCUCAACGUGCUGCCAUGGAAACUUGACACAUGCCUCAACCUUCUCAACUGAGGUAUGGGCAUCAUAGGCUUAUAAUUUGCCCCAACCCAGACUCUGGAUUAAGAAAUAAUCCACAGUCUCAGUAGGGAUAUAUGUGGAAGAUAAUACUUCUCCACCCAGGGACCCUGUGCCAAAGGUCAAGUUGUGUGACUCAGAGUAGCUGAGGCCCUAGAAUGCCUCCCACACAUACAUUCUCUGAGCCAGUGGCCCAUAUUUUCCCCCUAAGGUUUUAUUGUCUUGCAUUUUUUUAAUCUCAGAGAAUUUUACAAUAGCUAGGUUUGGGACAAAGAACAUAAACAUGGCUCCAGCAAAACCAGUUGCAUAUGGUAUUGAAACAAAGACUCAGGGAGGAAAAAUGCAACACAGACCUGAGUGUUGUAGCCUGUUUGCUAGUGUAACCUUCUCUGCCCAUUGGGAACAGCUGGAAAAGGUCUCCUGAAACCCAGAGGCCCUGAGUUGGUCAUAAAAAUCCAGUUAAUUUGUCUUCAGUCUGAUUUGAGUUGGGCCACAUCAUGAAACUGGAGAGGUGUGAUGGGUGCAGCAUGAACCAGGACAGAGGAAAGCAGAGAGAAGGUGCUCCACACUGAUGAAGCAGCCAGAGGAAUGGGCCUUGGCAGUGGAGGGGAACAUCUGGGCUCAGGCUCUAGACACGGUCUGCAAUUUAAAAACUGGAUUGUGAUGAGAAGCAUCUGGAGUCUGAUAAAGGCUAAUUACAGUUAAGAAAUAUGAAAAUUGAGAACUCAGGAGAAGAUCAGCUUCUACUACUGCCUGGGCAGAAUAAUCAAGAAAUUAGCACAAACUGAUGGUGACCAUAAAGAGACACUAGAGGAUAAUUGAAGUAUUAACAUUAAAGAUAUUCUGGCAAGU